CUCUCUCUCUCUCUCUCUCAAUUUAACCAGUCAUAAUCUGACACAAGAUCAACUCCUCCAAUUCCCCCUCCCCUCUCAAAAAUUCCUUGUCUUGCAAGUUAUUUGGUGACCCUGUCAGUGCUGGUGCAACGUAAAAAGCAUCCAGUCCACACUGUGAAAUGCUUGGCAUUUGGAAGGGU